rnacentral:rRNA from 1 species
GACGAACGCUGGCGGCGUGCUUAACACAUGCAAGUCGAACGCUGAAGCUCAGCUUUUGUUGGGUGGAUGAGUGGCGAACGGGUGAGUAACACGUGAGUAACCUGCCCCCUUCUUUGGGAUAACGCCCGGAAACGGGUGCUAAUACUGGAUAUUCACUGGUCUUCGCAUGGGGGUUGGUGGAAAGGGUUUUUCUGGUGGGGGAUGGGCUCGCGGCCUAUCAGCUUGUUGGUGGGGUGAUGGCCUACCAAGGCUUUGACGGGUAGCCGGCCUGAGAGGGUGACCGGUCACAUUGGGACUGAGAUACGGCCCAGACUCCUACGGGAGGCAGCAGUGGGGAAUAUUGCACAAUGGGCGCAAGCCUGAUGCAGCGACGCCGCGUGAGGGAUGGAGGCCUUCGGGUUGUGAAACUCUUUCGCUCAUGGUCAAGCCGCAACAAUGGUUGUGGUGAGGGUAGUGGGUAAAGAAGCGCCGGCUAACUACGUG